rnacentral:rRNA from 1 species
UACGUAGGGGGCAAGCGUUAUCCGGAUUUACUGGGUGUAAAGGGAGCGUAGACGGCAUAGCAAGUCUGAAGUGAAAGCCCAAGGCUCAACCAUGGGACUGCUUUGGAAACUGUUAAGCUAGAGUGCUGGAGAGGUAAGCGGAAUUCCUAGUGUAGCGGUGAAAUGCGUAGAUAUUAGGAAGAACACCAGUGGCGAAGGCGGCUUACUGGGACAGUAACUGACGUUGAGGCUCGAAAGCGUGGGGAGCAAACAGG